UACAGAGGGUGCGAGCGUUGUCCGGAAUCACUGGGCGUAAAGGGUGCGCAGGCGGCCAAGUGUGUUAGGCGUGAAAGCCCGGGGCUUAACCCCGGAAUUGCACCUAAAACUACAUGGCUAGAGCAUUGGAGAGGGUAGCGGAAUUCACGGUGUAGCAGUGAAAUGCGUAGAUAUCGUGAGGAACACCAGAGGCGAAGGCGGCUACCUGGACAAUUGCUGACGCUCAGGCACGAAAGCGUGGGGAGCAAAAGGG
rnacentral:rRNA from 1 species